rnacentral:RNase_MRP_RNA from 2 species
GCUCUGCCCAAAGAACCGCUUUCGCAGCUCCCGCACAAGAAGGCCCCGCCCUUCCACCUUGCAGCUGUGGGGAAAGUCCCCGGAGAUGCAGAACGUGUCCCGCGCCCGCACAGGAAAGCGGCCGUCCCCAAGCACGGCGGCAGAGCGCGGGACGGCCGGACGCUCCUGCCCCCUCGAGGGGCUCGCGUCGAAGGCCAUUCUGCAGCGCGUCGGGCCAGCCGGGAACUGCAGCGCGAAGAUACGAGUGCUGUGGUACGCCCAGGACUGUGCUGGCGCGCUACUGUUGCUCAUAGACACAGUUAUGCGGUCGCGGUGCCCUUCGGGGCGCCGCGAACACAAUGGGGCUUACUCUUGGGCAGCG